GUAUUACCAUGGGUUCCCUGCAAGCACUUCACGAGGCAUUAUUUAAAAUACCGCCAUGAAGUCUUUGGGGGGACUCUUGGUAUUAC
rfam:Triticum aestivum genome assembly, contig: Triticum_aestivum_CS42_TGACv1_scaffold_158142_2DL